UAUUCUUACUAAUUUGAUGAAUGUUGGGGCUGUCCUCCUUGGCAUCUUGUGCCUGCAAUCUUGGGGGCAAAGGCUCCUAUUUUUGGCCGCCAGCUUGCUCUCUUUUUGAGCCUUGUGAUGUUGUUGUCUACUUCAAAAUGGUGUACAGCUGGCCAUCUCCUUGGAGCUUUGUGGGUGUUUUAAAAUCGAGAAGGGAAAGAGAAGAUGACUCAUGCUCAAGCUUUCCUUGAUUCCAUUACCAUUUAUAGCUAGAGUCAAACUUGUAGACUUUGUCCUUUAGAAUAGCUAAGAUAUAGCUAUUCAUUUCUGGUGUAUAAUAAGGUGUAGAGCAUUCUAUUUGAUCAAUUGGCAUUUCCUCUUUCCAACAA